AUUUAUUUAUAAAUGUGUUUACCAAUUAACAUAUAUGCAUUUAUUAUUUAUUUCUCUAUUUUUAUUUAAUUAGUUCUUCAUGUUUUCUAGUUUUCUGUUUCACUGAGAUGAACAUGCAUUAAAUCAAUACAUCACUUGAAUGAAAAAACAAACAUAUAUAACAGCUGUCAGAAACAGCAGGAGAGGAUUCCAUUGGCUCACCGUGGCUGAAACUAUUCCUGCUUUUUUUCUCUAGAUUUAAAGCUCUUCCCUUCUUGGGGUCUUACAAGCCAGGAAAGCUUUGGAGGAUGUACUGCUGCCUAAAUCAUUAUGGCUGCCAUACAGAAGAAUAUCAGGAAGAGAUGGUGUCUUUUACAUUACAGUGUUCUUGCAGCAAGUUUACUAGUCUUCAUGAAGAAAGUCUUGAUGAAAUUAAAUAGUGGAAAAAAUUUCACGGAGUGUGCGAAUGAAACAGUCAGGAAGAAAUCCAUUUAUACAAGGCUCACACAAGGCUCACACUGAGUCUGAUGAGCAUUGACAAUUGGAAUAAAUUAUUUUGGCAGAAAGGAACUUCCA
rnacentral:lncRNA from 1 species